AGCUUUAUAGUCAAUAAAUGAUAUUAGACUGCAAUUCUAGAGGAGUAAUGAUUUAAUUUACUAAAGCUU
rnacentral:tRNA from 1 species